rnacentral:rRNA from 1 species
GUGCCAGCAGCCGCGGUAAUACGAGGGGAGCUAGCGUUGUUCGGAAUUACUGGGCGUAAAGGGCGUGUAGGCGGUACCGUAAGUCAGAUGUGAAAGCCCCAGGCUUAACCUGGGAGGUGCAUUUGAUACUGCGGAACUAGAGAUCGAGAGAGGAAAGUGGAAUUACGAGUGUAGAGGUGAAAUUCGUAGAUAUUCGUAAGAACACCAGUGGCGAAGGCGGCUUUCUGGCUCGAUACUGACGCUAAGGCGCGAAAGCGUGGGGAGCAAACAGGAUUAGAUACCCUGGUAGUCC